GGAGAGUUAGAGUGGAUUGUGACCGAACUGAAAGUUCCGUGAACAUGGUGGCCUUGUGACAUAGCGUACAAGCCUUAGGGCUGCAGCAUUAUGAGUGGCUGAGGAGCAGCAUGAACUAUUGACAAUAUGCCACAUCAUGAGAAGAUAUUUGAAUCAUGUAACAGUAAGAUAAAUCAGGCUGCCAAUAAGUUGGCGGUAGGGAGUAUGAUCAAAAAGUGGUUCACUAUCAGUAGUAUUAAAACGAACAUUGUUUUUUAAUUGAGUAUCGAUAAUCUUAUUGUCGUAAGUUCAGCUUGAGCUAAGAGAUUAGAAGCAUAUGUGGUUUGAGAAAGAUAGUAUCCAUUAGAAAUAGAGGAAACAUCAAUGCCUAAGAAAUAACUCAGAAUGUCAAAUCCUUCAUUUUAAAUUUACUGCGGGCUGAGGAUGUCAUCACAUAUAGUAAGAAGAAGAACAAUGCCUUGAAUAGACUUCCUGAUAAAGAAGUUCGAAUCUAAGAGCUGGAGACCAACUAUGCUGAGAAUGGGUAGAAACUAAAUUGCCAAAUCUGCUCGGGGGGCUUUGCUAAGUCCUACAGAGCACGACGUAUACAACAACCCCUUAUGCAGAGGGUGAUCAAUAGCCAGAAGGAGAGUCCAUUAUACUUUCCCUUGUAAAAUCACCGUUUAGGAAAGUAUUUUUAAGAUCCAUUUUGAAAAGAAACCCAUCCACUAACUACGCAAUAACAUAAGGUACAGACAGAGGUAAGAUUGAGCAAAUAGGAGCAAAAGUCUUCUCAUAUUAAUCCUAUUCUUGAGUAAAAACUUGGGUAACCAGACGUGCUUUGUACUGUUCAACCCGUGUCGUUUAGAUUGAAUCUUAAUUUUAUACCCUAUUUUGCCAUCCCACUUGUUGUUUUGUUUUCCCAACAUUAAUUCGACCAUGUCCAAUGUGUGAGGUUUUAUUCAAGAGCAGCUUAUCGAAUUCCAUCUUGCAUUGCUCUUUGCCAAUCAGGGUUGAUGAAAGCCUCCAUGAAAACCAGUGCGGGCUCGUGCAAAGUAGAAAGAGGCAAAAUAAAUAAUGAUAAUCAACGAAGAUGAUAGGGUGCACGUUUCUUACUCUUGGUGGAACGAGUACUGGAUAGAACGUGUGUCGGAGCUACUAGCGGGGAGACAUUGGGGACAUCCAUGGUGCGGGAUGUUAGAAUUGGUGAUAAUAGAGAACCUGCAAAAGAGGGAGAAGUAUCAUGAGAGAUGAUAUCUAAUGAGGGGUCAGUAAAAAGAGGGCGCCCAAAAUCAAAUGAUAUAGGUGUUUUUGAGGUAUUCGAAAACUUAACAUCUUUUCAAAAUUCAAUAUGUUGAGAAAUGCGAAGGCGUUUGGAGAUAGAAUCAUAACAACAAUAUCCCUUAUGUUCAGUCACAUACCCUAAGAAACAAUAAAGUUGAGAACGAGAUUCUAAUUUAGUAUGUUUACGAGGUUGAAGAAGAACAAAGUAUGUACACCAAAAAACGCAAAGAGUGGUUUAAGUAGGGAUAGUGCAAUAAAGGUGUUCGUAAGGUAAUACGUUGUCGGUGUCCAAUGAUGGUGUGCAAUUUAUGGUGUAACAGCAGUAAGAGCAGCUUCUCUCCAAAAUGAUUCGGUGACAGAGGGAGAAAGGAGAAGGGCACAGACAAUGUCCAAGAUGUGCCGAAAUUUGUGCUCUGCAUGACCAUUUUGUUGAGAAGUACCGGGAUACGAUGAAUGAGAGAGAGUGUCAUUUUGUUUAAGAAUGUUGAGAAAAACAGUUUGUUUAUAUUCUUGAGUAUUGUUAGAACGAAAAUUUUAAUUUUACAAGAAAAUUAUUUUUGAAUCGUUUUCUGAAACUCAUCAUAAAUACCGCAAUAACUCAGAUCCUACUAUGCUAAAUAAAUCCUAUAUAUUGAUAAUAAUCAUCAAUCAACAUUGACAAAGUAUUGAGAACCACGCAUAGUAGAGAUUGGCGAGGGCCCCACACAACAGAGUGAAUAAGGUCAAAAGGGGCAGUAACAAGAGAAUCACUAUUAUGAAAAGGUAAUGCAUGUUUUUCAAUUUGACAAGAAAGACAAUGAAAAUUUAUUUUAGGUUUAACAGAAUCCAAGUAAACUGCCACUUUAUUCGCCAUCACUUACUCUACGGUGUUUUGCAUCUGGUCCCUAUUCACUCUGUUGAUCUCUUACCAAGACUUAUCCGACAAGUCGCUGUUGAGACCUUGUAUUCAAACUCAAGUUGGUUUUCAAUUUACCACAUUUAGUUUGAGAGAAUAUUAGAAUAUCUUUAGUAUAUUGACGAUGAGUCAUGGUAAUAUCUUUAGUAUCUUCAGAAUAUAUUCUAAGCACCAGAGAUUUUUCUUGUAUCAAACAGAAAGCAAGAGAGCCAUUAGCUUACUAUUUGCCCAAGAAUCAUAUUGUACCACCUUCUGUCCUGAAUUGCAAUAUGUAUUAGUUUUCUAAAUACCUUAAAAUCUUGUUCAUUAAUGCCUCGGGUUGGAGUAUUUAUUUUGGAAUUU
rnacentral:lncRNA from 1 species